AAAUAAUUUUUGUAGAGUAAAAGCUAAAUAAAUUCAUACAUACUGUAAUACAGAUAACCAAAGUAUAAAAUUUAAUUUACAAUGACACAUGGGCCCACGAACGACUAAAAGUAUCAAAAGCGGUAAACCUACAGUUUUUGAGGAUGCAAGUCCAACUGUAGCCCUCAACAAAGUGAGCUAUCUACCAACUAUCCUGAGCCUGAAAUGGGUGGAAAAGAGGGUUGUGAGAUUAUAUAAUCCCAGUGAGUAAACAAAUACCAUCUAAAAUAUCUAAAGUUGAGUAAAUGGAGACAGAUUAAAAUAGAUCAUCACACUGUAAUUCAUCACCUUUCAACUCAUUUCAACCAAACAAAAUCAAUUCAUAUAAAUUGAGUAAUCAACAUGGCUUAUGAAUUUCUUAAAACUUUGGCUCGUGCCAAAAUCAUUCUCAUACUCAGUUAUCCAGGAUACCUUGGCAGAGGGCUAUCCCAACCGAGUCCGCCAAGGCUAUUAAAAAGUCAUGUACGCAUAAAUCAUGUUUUGAUUUUGAAAACAUAGCCGUUCCUUGGCGUUGGCUAAGUUCACCCUCAUGUGGUGGUUUAGCGUGAAGUGAACUCUAAAGUGUUAACCUCAGGAGUUAUCCAUCCGCGCCUCUCAUACUGAGGUAAGAAUAUAAUAGGGUUACUGUGCCCCCUCUAAUAGGCUGGUCCACGGAACCCGUCCAUUGCAGCGACUAAUCAAUAACCCACCAAUUCAAUAAAAUUCAACAGCAUGACAUGGCAAUUUUAUCAUUAUCCAGCUUAUCAAGGCAAAGAACAAUUUAUACAUUUUCAACACAAAUACCAAUUCAACCAUUCAUGCCAAUAUUAUCAUAAGCCAUUCAAUUCAAACCAUGAUUUAUAACACAACAAUUAAUCUCCAAUUACUCCAUUUUCAAAACCAUCAUUCAAUUUCAAGACAAUUUUAUAAAAUCAUUUCAUUUAAUCACAUUUUUGCUUAUAAAACAUAAAGAUUUACCAUUUAAACUUAUUUUUCUAUCAAAUCACAAAAAUGAAUAAAAACUACUUUAGAUAAUUAAGACGAUAAUAAGGUUACUCACUAUUUCGGGAGUCGAAUUCUGAGUACUUCGAUUCUUGAUCCUCGGGUACUAUCUCUUUACUUUUGCCAGAAUGCUCACCACCUAGACAUAAUGCACAAUAAGCCAUUUACUACAUUUGUGCUAAAUUGGUAUAAAACCAAUUCAUGCUCUAUACUAAUGCAUGAAAUGGGAUGUGAAAUACUCGGGUAACUAUUUAAAUACAGUGUUCAAUAUAAAUUCAAUUAUGUACCUAAAUAAAACGAUAUUGGCCUAAUUCGAUCUAUCACCCGAUUAAUUAGCUAAUACGUCCAAUUCAAUUCCAAAUAAUUUCAUUUUUCUCCCAAUACUCCAAAUCAUCAAACAUAAAUUAAUUAACUUGAAAUAUGGCAAAAUCAUCCUCACAUUUUCUCUUGGAAAAUUCGGCCAUGGUGGGUGCAUCAACACUAUGAUUUUUCCUACUUGAUUUCUCACCAUAAUUCAUCAUUUCCUAACCAAUUCACUUGAAAUAAAAUCAAAUCCACCAUCAACACACCAUAGGAAAGAUUCAGCCAAUGGAGGUUCUUGUGGGGUAUACGGGUUUUCAUGCUAAACAUUACCAUUUUCGGUUUCCACCACCACAAUUCAUUAAAUUCUAACUAUAUAACAUAAGACAUCACAUGAUUCAUCUUCAAUAUUGUCUUUAUGAAAUUCGGCCAAUGAAAAAUCCAUGAAGAAUAUGUGAUUUUUCUUACUUGUUUUCCUUCCAAACAUGAUAAAUCAACUAUAAACACUAAAAUAUCUCAAAAUCUAACCAAAUAAAUCAUCAAAUCUUCUCUCUCUAAAUUCGGUCAGCCAUGAAUCCUUCAUGAUAUCUUGUGAUUCAACCAUGGAAAAUGCAAAAGACUGUAUGGGAAAGGUAGAUCACAAGUCAAAAUCAAGAAAUUUUACCUUUGAUUGCUUGAUUACUUGAAAUCCACCAAUUUUCUCUUGAAUUUUCACUCUAGGGUUUUUGUUCUUCUUUCCUUCUUUUGUUCUUGCUAUGGCCGACCAUGAGAAAUGAGUUGGGAGAGUUUAUGUGUUGAUUUUUAAAGUCAAAUAUAAAUGGAUGAAAAUUUGACACGUCACCAUUCCAUUGGUCCAUGUGUCAUACUUACCCAUUAAGCAAUCUCUCUCCACCACUUAAAUUUCCUCAAUUAUCCAUGAUAAUAUUGGGUAAAAUCCAUGUGCUGGACAAGUGUUGGGUGGUGUAAAAUUCCAAUUUUGCCCUUAGGGUGGCAAAAUGACUAUUUUACCCUUAUGCUUGAAAAAAUACCAGAAUUAAAAUUUUUCACUUCUUAAACUCAAAUUAUGUUCUAAAUAGUCAAUCUUGGUCAAAAAUUUUUUUCAACAUUCAAAUUUUAACCUUGGGUGGCAAAAUGACCAUUUUACCCCUAGGUCAUGAAAAUUCCAAUUUGACUCCAAAUCAGUCCUUGAACUUCGAAUCACUAUUUUAAGUCAUUUUGGGGUUUUAAAAUUCUCAAUUUCAUCUUAAAAUCUCUAUUUGGACUAGUUCGAGGCUUAAUUCAACUUAAUUGUACCAUUUGGUACAAUACCGUCCUUUAACGAUUUUCGAGGUACCUAAGUAAGCAAACAUGCAUUCUUAUAUAGGAAUGGCAUAAUAAACAUAUUGAAGAGUUGGGCUUGACAAUAAUAGUAAUGUGUGUUUUUGCUUGUGCAAUUGGAUUGCUUGUGUAAUUGGAUUGCUUGCUUCCUUUAUAAAAAGAAAUUUUUUUAAAAUCCAUGCUUUACACAAUCACAUUAAUUCACUAAGAUCCUACUCCAACAAUAUGAGCACUAAGAUGUCUACAUAUAAAAGCUCUUAAUUAUGAAGUAUGGGAUGUAAUUACAAGAGGACCUUAUGUUUCCACCUCACCUAGUUUUGUCACAAGUGAAAGAAUGCCCAAAGACAAAAGUUGAGUGGACUGAGGCUGAAGUAAAAAAGGUUCAAAUGAACUUUAAGGCCAUUAACACCUUCCAUAGUGCAUUGACUCCCAUUGGGUUCAAUAAAAUUUCUAGUUGUACCAUAACUAAAGAAAUUUGAGAAAAACUUAGUGUCAUUCAUGAAAGGACUUCACAAGUUAAAGAGUCCAAAGUUUCCUUACUCACCCAUAAUUAUGAAAUGUUUAAAAUGGAACCGGGUGAGGACAUCUCUACCAUGUUCGAUAUGUUUACCAACAUUACAAACAAGGUUAAUCAACUUAGGAAAACCAUUCUUGAACAUGAGUUAGUGAAAAGAUUACUUAGAUGCCUCCCAAAAAGCUGGAAACCCAAAGUCAUAACCAUCCGAGAGGUUAAAGAUCUUAAUGUGGUCACACUUGAUGAAAUUUGUGCCUUAGUCCUCACACAUGAACUUGAAAUGAUAGAAGAUGAAGAUGAGGAAAGGAAAAAAGCUAAAGAAAAGAAUAAAAUUUAGUAAUCAAGAUUACACACUUGAAGAGGAAUUAGAAGAGUUCUCAAGUGAUGAUGAUGAAGAACUAGCCAUGAUGGCCAGAAGAUUUAGAAAGUUAAUGGGACAAAAAGGCAAAAAGUUUGGGAGAAGAAAUUACAAGAGGGAUGAAGGUUCUUAUUGGAAAAAAAGCAUAAAGGUGAUCUCAAUAAGAAGGAUGAAAUGAUCUAUUUUGAAUGUGAAAAACUUGGACACUUCAUAUCAGAAUUGUGAAACCUCGACCUUUAUAGACGUGUAACGGAGGUAGACACGAUGGCGCAGAUUAGGGGUAAUUUUGUCACUUUCCUUGGUGAGCUCCUAGAAGUGGGUUUGUUGAUAUUAUUAAGGCCUAAGUAAGCUUAAGGAAUAAAUGAAUGAUGCAUAUAAUAAUGAAAUAAGCAAAGAAAAUAGAAAUAACGAUAAUUUUCAUGAUAGGGGUAAAAUGGUCAUUUUGGGUAUCGAGUCUAAAUUUUUAAGUUUUUUAUGAACUUGAGUACCUCUAGUCUAUUGUGGAUCUUUUCUUAGUGUCAAAAGAGUAAAAAGUUUGAGCCAAAGGGAAGAAGAAGGCAAAGUCAACUAUGCAAUGGCAUUUUUGUAAAUAAGGGGAACUCUAGUCAAUUAUAGGAUAAAUAUCUCAUUUUUUCUAGCACUUUCUUCUCACUUCCAACAGCUUCUUCUUCUUCUUCCCCUUCUUCUUCCUCACUAAACAUUGUCCAUCUUCCAUGGAAGCCAUCUCUUGAAACCUCCAUGAUUUUCUCAUGGUAACCCCAAAUUUUUUGUUUUUAUACACCUUAUCAUAGGGUUUUUCCUGCUCUUACACUUCUACACCUCAAGAACCCUCAAAAGUCUUUCCUCAAUACUUUCUUUCACUAGCUAGACAUUUUAAAGAGAGAGAGAGAGGGUUUCCAAAUAACUUGAAGAAAACUCUUAAAAAGGAAUUCAACUACAAAUUCACCAAGGUGAGUAUUGAGUUAGGGUUGAUUUUUAGGUAGUUGAUGAUAGUCAAUAAUUAAAUUGUAGACUGUUUUAUUUCUUAUGGUUAUUUAUUUAUUUUUGGUGUGACUAGAGUAGUGUGAAUAAAUAUCCAAUCAAAUGGUAAAUGGAAGCUAGUUAGGAAUGACUAGUAAAACUUGAUUUAGGAAACAACUUUUGGAAUAGUAUUCAUGUAAAUUGAGUUGGAGUGAUGCUAUUAUGUGUGAUAGGUUCCAAUGAGACCCCACAUCUUCAUUUGGAGCAAUAAUCGAAGUUGAAAUCAAUCAAGGAAUCAACAAAGAUGUGAGUGAACUUGCAUUAAAAUGUUUUGGGAUAAAUGCAUAUGUAUUUGGUUAAAUCACUUGAAAUAUUUUUAUUGAACUUUUCUCUAAAUAUGCAUGGGAACAAGCCCUUGAUGAAAUGUUUUUAUGUUGUGAAAUAUGAAUGGGAUGAACUCAUGUGGUUCUAAAUUAUGUUGACAUGUAUGUUAUGCAUUGAAUGGCACUAUUAAGUGACAAUUGUAACCGUGCGUGUGCGGUGUGGGAGUGCAUAUGACGGUGAUAGUGGUGUGCUGUGUGAGUGCACACACUGAUGAUAUAUGCCAUGUGCGAUGUGGGAGUGCACAUGAUGAUAUUGCCUUGUACGGUGUGGGAGUGUACAGGAUGAUUCUAGCUAUGUGCGAUGUGGAAGUGCACAUGAGCUGGUGAGAUGGGAGUUGUAUACAUGUGUACACAUACAUAGAGAGGUUAGGGAAAGUAUUCUGUGUUUGCAUUGAAUAUUGAAUGUUAAUAUUUGACAAAUGCUUUCCAAUUGAUUUUCACUGCAGCAAAAAUGGAUUUCCGUUGUGACCAAAAUUCUUUUAAUUUCAUUGCCCUGUUUCUCGCUGCAAUGAGAAACUCUCCGGUGCUGGGGGCUUGACUAGCCCAGAUUUUCGUUCCAAAAAAAAUGCAUUCUCGCUGCAGCGAGAAACUCUCGGGUGGUUGGGUAAAAUGCCUGCCCGAAUUUUCGCUGCAGCGAAAAUGCAUUCUCGUUGCAACGAGAAACUCUCGGGUUAAUGGUUCAAAAUUUUGCCCUGAAGUUCACUGUAGCGAAAUUUGCUCUACUAUGCUUGCCUUGCUUGAACUUUACUGUACUUUCACUCUUUAACUUCUUUAUUGAUCAUGGAUCUUUCAAUACUAAAACACUAAAUGAUCAAGAGUUGAAUUAAGGGGUUUUAACAAGAAAUUGAGUUAAAUUGCAUUGCUUUCAACAUAAGUGCAUCAUGUUUUCUAAAACCUCCCGUAUUAACGCUUGUUCCCUUCCUAUGUUCACUCACUAGGUUUAUACUCACUCUUUUCAACAUCAUGUUUUCAAAUUCAGAGAUAGUUGGGACCUAGACUGAGGCGUCCAUUUACUUUGACCUUUUGGUAGGUACCAUGGCAUCCAGUAACUGUACCUUCACCCAAGGUCACUCUGCUGGAAGUCAAUGAGUCUUUUUGUCUGCGUAUAUGUACAUGUGAUAUAAAUCACUAAGAUACAUGUUGUAAACAAUAUAUGUGUAUUUUGAUUUACGUUGCCACUAUGAGUUGCAAUGGAUGACAUUUUUUUGGAUAAUAUAAAUGUAAGUAGUUGACUAUCAUAUUAUAUUGUUGAAAUAAUCAUACUUGAGAAUCACGAAAUAUGACAUUUAAAGUGAUGGAUAGAAUAAUGAACAGGAUCGUAUAAAAAGGCUUGCUUAGGCUUAGUGGGCUAUGCCCAUUGGGCCCAUGCGUCGGUCAUGGCUCAAGGUUUCGGUUGUGACAAGAAUGCCUAUUACUCAAGGAAGAAAUCUUUUAGAAAAUGAAGAAACCAAAAAGAGCAAUGGUGGCAGCAAUAUGGUUUGAUAGUGAUUCAUCAAGCUCAGAAGAAAAUUAAGAAAAAUUGGAAGAAAGAACAAACUUUUGCUUGAUGGCAAAAGAAGAAGAAAUUGAGGUAACUUCUAAGUCAUGUGAUAUUUCUUAUGAUGAACUUCAAUAUGAAUAUGAUUGUUUAUAUGUUGAAUUUGAAAAACUUGCAUUAAAAUAUAAGACCAUGUUAAAAAGGUAAUUUCUUUGGAUAAUGAAUUAGAGAAAAUUAAGCAUGAGUAUAACUUUAUUUUUGGUAAAAGGAAUAUGCUUCAAAUUGAACUCGAACAGUCCAAAAUUGAUUUUGAACUCUUGAAGUUAGAAUUAGAAAGCAAAAAUUUUGAUUUGCAAAAAGUUGUUAAUGAAAAUGCCGGACUUAAAGUUUUGAUAAAGGAGAAAUUAAAAAUUGAAGAAGAGCUUAAAAAAAAUAGUAACAUUUGAAGGAAAACUAAUGCAUUCUCAUGUCAUUGCUAUAUAUGUGGUAGGAAAAUCAUAUCUUAUGAUUGUUAUCAUAAUAUGUAACACCCUUGAUUUUUGGUAUGAACAAUGUAAGGUAAACUAAGCCAAUUGAUGAACUAAAUUGAACCUUUGGUGUAUAUGUUUAAGAAUUCAAGGGAUGUCUAUAUCCAUAAAGAGAUAGUCAAGGAAUGUAUGAGUAUGUAAAAGCUAAAAUAAUGUUGUGCAUAUGCUUGGAACAUGAAUGAUAUAGUGCAUAUGUUUGGCAUUAAAGUGAAUAUGAGAUAUAUGUAAAUUAUGCAAUGAUAAUUGAUAAGCUAUGCAACAUAAGGCAUAAAUGAGUGAUUGGUGUGUAUGAUGGACUUUUGUGUUGAUUCAAAUGAAAUAUGAAUGAUUGGAGGUUAUGGGGAAGAUUUAGAAUGAGUUUAGGCUUCAAAAGAACCAAUUGUUACGAAUUUGAACCUCAAGAGUCGAUCUCAGUGCUUGGAGGAUCAAUCUUGUGAAGUAGAAAUUUAAGGUUAAAUAAUUUGUGAAAUAAAGUUUAGGGGUAAAUAAUAGCACUAGCCCAAGAUCGAGUAUAGAACCUUUAUAGUUGAUCCUAAGGCAGGAAAUGAGAUUAGGAGUAAACAAUUUGGUCCAAGAUUGACUACCAAGCUCCCAUAAUCGAUAUUGAGGUGCUAGAUCAACAAAAAUCAGGCUUAAAAGCCCUAAAAUUGAAUCUUUUUCAUUUUCUUCCAUUUUUCUUCAUUUUUCCAUCAAUUUCUCUCAAAUUUCACCCAAAACCUUCAAACUCUAAUGCUAGAUCUUUGAUUUGAAGUGCUAAAAGUGAGAUUUCAGUCUAAAAAGCUUAGUUGGUGAAUUUCCACUUUCCCUCUCUAAAACCAAGCCUUAGCCUCCAAGAAUGAUUUUUUAAAGCAGUUGGAGUUGUUUGGAGUAAAGAUGCAAUUGGGGAAUGCUUCUAGAGGUAAGAUAAAGCAUUAUUGUCGAUUGAUUUCUGAUUUAAAUGGUUACUAACUCAAAUUUUAUCUUGGUCUGGCUUUGGAGAAAAAAAGUACUCUUUUGAGUUGAUUGGAUAUUAAGGGUAAAUAAUAUGAUAGCUCAACUUCUAAGGUAUGGAUUAGCCCAUUGUUGAAGUAUUUGAGUUUAUUUGUUAAUAUGCUAAAUAUUUAGCUAUUUUUAGAAAAGCUGGAAAUAAUCUGAAAGCCAGGAUUUGGCUAUGAAAUUGAGAAUUAUGAUGUAAAUGCUAAUGAAUAUGUGUUGUUAAAUGCUAAAUGACUAUUUGGAGUAAGAAUUCUGCCCAUUUGUGAAUAUUAAGUUGUUGAGCUAAAGUGUGCAAGUGUGGAUAGAGGAACACCCUUGAAUUGUCAAUAUGAGUGGGUAACUUUUAUGCAUAGGAGCAUAAUGACUAGGGUGCGUAUAUUCUUCAUAAAUGAUAAUGCAUAAUGUAUGCUAUGUAUGAGCUAUAAGCAUGUCUAAAGGUAGAAUUCCUAGACUAGAAAAUAUGUGAGAAUGAUGUUGAUGUGAAUAUGAGUUAAUGUAAUGGAAAUAAUGACACUAUGUUGAAUGUCUAUAUGGUCAAGAUGUCUAGAAACGUUAUGUCUAUACUAGUGAAUGUUAUGAGACUUACAUGAUAUGCCUAGAAGGAAUAUGUUGAGGCUAACGAUGUUAAUACAAAGGUGUACAUGAUGAAUAUGUCUAGAAAUGCUAUGUCAAACUAGUGAAUGUUAUGAGAAUUAUGUGAAUUGCCUAGAAGGAUUGUCGUAGGCUAAGUAAUUAACAUGCCAAUGAUUAUGUUCUUGAGAUGAGAAAUAAGGCAUGAUUAUGAAUGAUUGAAUAUGUCAUAAUGACUAGUGUGAUGAAUUGUAAUUGUGUUGAGGAAUAUGUUCCAUCCAUAGAUGAUUCUUGAUGAUGACAUGAUGUGAGGUAUGUAUGUUCUGUCUGUAGAUUAUUUUGGAUGAUGAUAUGAUGUGGAUUAUGUAUGUUCCAUCUUUAGAUGAUUUUGGAUGAUGAUAUGAUGUGAGUUAUGUAUGUUCCAUCUGAAGAUAAUUCUAGAUGAUGAUAUGAUAUGAGAUAUAUAUGUUUCGCCCGUAAAUGAUUUCGGAUGAUGAUAUGAUGUGAGGUAUGUUUAUUUUGAUUGUGGAUGAUUUUGGAUGAUGUUAUGAUGUUGAAUAUGUAUGUUUCAUCCAUGGAGGAAUUCCGAACCAUGGAUAUUAUGAGGUUGAGUAUGUCCAUAUCCCUAUGACUAUGCAUGUUUCGUCAGUAGGGAUGGUGGUUUUGUCUUGCCUGUGAUUCUCGCCUGCUGUGCGAUGAUGACUAUGUCCAUGCCUUAGGGAUGGUGGUAAAUAAGGGUAAUGGUUGAAAUCCUGCCUGUGAUGCUUGCUUGUUAUGUACGAUGCCAUCCGUCAUGAGAUUACUCUAGAUAAUGAUUGUGAUGCCAACUGUGGAGAAUACUCUAGGUGAUGCCGUUCGUGGAAAGAUUGCUCUGGACGAUGACUUUGAUAUUCCACUAGUUGCUUUGGCACUAGCCAUGAUAUGUUUUUCUACCAACUAGUCACUGUAUGUGAUUUACUGAUGUCUAGGGGAGGACCACUCUAUGAUAUGAUAUUAUUACUACGUAGUGGCAUGCCUUAGGUUUUGAAAUGUGAAUUAUGUUAUAGAAUGUUAUGAAAUGAUGAUUAAUGCAAAGGCUCAAGGUAAAAGCCAUAUGUAAUUGAUUGUGAUUAUGAUAUGCUGCAUGCUUGAGGAGCUAUGAUUUAAUGUCGAGGUGAGCACUUUAAGGUAUGUAUGCUAAGCCACGUAUAUAGAUGACCAUAUGGUAAGCUGGUUCAUAUGAUAAAUUAAACUGUUAAGAGGUUGUGUUGAUAACGAUAUUGAAUGAGUAAGGUGAUGAUGAUUAUACCACCUUAGUAUGUUAAUAGCUAGAGAUAUGCAGCAUAGUAUGGCUUCCAUGAUUAUGACCAUGAUUGAUAGGUGAUAUCCAACUUGGCCCCAUUAUGUAUUUGCAUGUGAUAUAUGUUGGGAUGAGCCCUACAGCCAAUUGGGAUUGGUUGAGGCUUAAUUCCAAUCAUGCAACAGUAUCAUUCAUGUUGAAUGAUUAGAGGUUUUCCUUCAUCAAUAAGACAUUAAUUGUAAUGAAUUAUAUGCCUUGCAAGGAAACUGUAAUGGGUUGUAGUUAUGAGAUGCCUAUGCAUCAAAGCAUAAUCUCAAAAUGUUUCUGGUAAAUGUAUCAUUGAGAUUGGACAUCAAUGACGCUUAGAGACUGGUAUAUUCUAUGUUCCUUACUUUGGAAGUAAGCAAUCGAUCUCAUAGAUUGAAGUAUAGAGAUACUUGGAACUAGAAUAUAAGUGCUUGCCUAGGAGAACAAGUUCACUGAACAUGACUCGCCAUGAGAAGUGCAUUUGGUAAUACACUAUAGUGUCUAUGCAACACUUCUCAUGUGUCAAUUGUGUAAAUACUCCCUAGACUUGAGACACCAGGUUGUCUUAUGUGUGGAGUGCUAUGCUUUGAUUUCAUCCCUAUGGGUGCCUAACUAAGGAUGUCAAAGCAAGAUGCUUUUGGGUAUAGUAUAAAGCAUGUGAAGGCAAAUGAGUGGUCAAGAUAGGAAUCAUCACCUCAAGUGUUUUAGAGGACAUAUCUUAUCAGUUCUUGGUUAACAUUAGCUUAUUGAAGUCCUUGGCCAAGGCGACAUGGAGAUUAUGAAAAAGGUUUCAUAACUCUCUAUAAAGCUAAUGCUAUAAUUGCAAGUACAAAUAUGGAGGUCAAUAAGAGUAGACACUGUACCAAGCUCGUAUCAUCUCCGAGAUAUAUGAUGAGGGAAUAAAUAACACUGAUAGACUGCACACUGAAAGGUUGUGAAAGAACCCUUUGACUUUCCCAACAAUUUGGUGGCCAUAAUGCUUUGCUAGAUGCCAAUCUUGGUCUAUGGAAUUGAUUAUAAACUAAUUAAUUGAAAUUUAUAUUAAUCAAUUAAGUAAUUAAUCAAUUCCAUUGCCAACAUGUUGGGAACCUAAUGGGUCAUACACAAUGAUUGCAUUUGAAUUAAAUUGGGAGAGUGAUGAUUUAAGUUAGACUUAAAUCACAUGCUAGGUAAUUAACUUCUACAAACUUAAUUAAAAGAGUGUAAUUAAGUUUUUGGCAUAAUUAUAAAUAGUUAUAACUAUAAGGCCUUGAUUGCAAAAUAUAAAGGAAAUUAAUUUUGAUUUUAAUUUCCAAGGACUUAAUUAAAAGAGUUUAAUUAAGUAAUAGGCCCAAUAUUAUAAUAUGUUAUAAUAUUGAGGGCUUAAUUGCAAAAUUGAAGUUAUUUUAACUUAACUAUAUAAGUACCUUUUAACUAUUUUCCAUAUGAGAGUUUUUCACAAUUGAAGACAACAUAGUUUUUGUAAGAAAAAGAGAAACAUUUUCUUUCUUUGCCACCACUCCCUUUGUGUGAAAGAGAAAAUUUCUUAUGAAGCAAUUUUCGAGAAAGGUUUAGCUAAGAUUGUGAAAAAGAAGAAAAGGAUAAUUGUUGUCCUCUUUUCUAGCACAAAGUAUAGUUAAAAACUCCGUCCUUUGUUGAAGGUUCAAGUGCAAUCAUGUGUACUACCAUUGGAGGCCAAGCACUUGAUUGGCUAGGGUUUUUGCUCCUAUGGUGUUCGCGGGAUUGCUUCGAAAAGUGCCAUCGUGAUUACGAAAUUACAUGGCAAGGUAACUUUCUAAACAAUAAUUUGUUUUGUGCUUUUAUGUGUUAAAUAUCACCAAGGUGAUCCAUGGGUGGAGGCAUGUUUUGUUGUUUCGUUAUAAAGUUUUUAAUUUUCUUUUCGCUGCAUAUUUUGAGCAUGCCAUCCAUAGACAAACCCAUCAAUAUAUGAUAUGCAUGCAUGAUUAAAGGAUAUGUGUAGCAACUAUCCCUGCACAUUUGCAAUUGUUUUAUGCUCCCACUCAUUUAAUACUAGUGUGACUCACCCAUUUUAGUUGUAUUAUGUAGAUGAAUAGACAGGAAGGCAUGGUGGCUAGCAUUUCUUUUAGAUAGACAUGCGAUUUUGAUAGUUGGUAAGUUUUCUUGCUGAUGAACACUCUGUUGUGUCACAAUCUAAGUCAUAGUUAUGUACACUUCCGCAAUGUAAAUAAAGUAUGUCAUAAAGGAAAUAUGUCAGAAUGGAGUUGCCUUAUGUUAUGUAAUGAGAUGUUAACGACUGGAUGAACUAGCCAAUGUAUGGCUACGUGCAUGUUAUGUUUAAGUCUUGAAUGUUAUUAUGAGCUGAGGGGCUAAUGUUGAAUAUUAAAGAUUAGAGUUUAAUGAAAUGAUGUUGGCUAUAAGGCCUUAUGAUUAUGAUAUGUAUGUUUAUCAAAACUUCACUAUGAAGGCUUCCUCGAGUCUCGCAGGCUUACGUGCCAGGCUCAUGUGUGCCAGUCACGGACCCCCAGAUUUAGGUUAUGACAUAAUAGUAGGAAUCAUUCUAAAACUAAAUUGGUAUGGGUUCCUAAAGGAUCCCAUGUGAUUGUUAACCCCCAAGGACCCAUCAAAGUAUGGAUACCUUUAAAGAAAAGCUAAAAAUCUUUUUUGUAGGUUGAGCAAGGACAAAAGGAUCAAUGUUUUGUAGCUCAACCAAAAGAAAGGCAGCUUUGGUACUUGGACAGUGGUUGCUCAAAACACAUGACCGAUAAUGAGAACUUGUUUGCUAAGCUUGAUAGAAACAAGAGUGGUAGUGUUUCCUUUGGUGAUGACUCCAAGGGUAUUAUCCAAGGAAUUGGAACCAUUGGUAACACAUCUCAAACUCAAAUCAGGCAUGUUUUAUUUGUCAAAGGUCUAAAAUAUAAUUUGCUAAGCCUUAGUCAACUUUGUGAUUGAGGCUUUAGAGUAUGCUUUGAUUAUCAUGGAUGUCAAGUGAUUGAUGUUAACAUUAACAAAGUAGCAUUUAUCGGUAAAAAAAUCAAGAAUAUGUAUGUUAUUUUCGUAGAUGAGAUUAAGUCUAGUGAAUCUUGUUUCAUUGCCAAUGAUGUAUGUGAUAGUUGGUUGUGUCAUAGAUGACUAGGACAUGCUAUUAUGCACACUAUUUCAAAGCUUUUGAGAAAAGACUUAGUCAUUGGACUUCUAAAGAUAUCAUUUGAAAAUGACAAGGUUUGUGAUGCAUGUCAAUUUAGGAAACAAGUUAGAAGUUCAUUUAAAUCUAAGAAAGUCAUGUCGACUUCGAUCUAAGGUUUGGACCAAUCACUGUUGCUAGUCCAGGAGGCAAGUCAUAUAGCUUUGUUAUUGUAGAUGAUUACUUUAGAUAUACAUGGGUAUAUUUUCUUGCUCAUAAAGAUGAUGCAUUGCCAAUUUUUGUUAAGCAUUGUAAAUGAAUUCAAAAUGAAAAAGGUUUCACCAUUGUUAGUGUUAGGAGUGAUCAUGAUAGUGAAUUUGAAAGUGACUAAUUUUAAAUUUCUUGUAAUGAAAAUAGUUUUGAUGAUAAUUUUUCUGCUUUUAGAACUCCAUAACAAAAUGGAGUUGUUGAAAGAAAGAAUAGGACUUUAAAAGAAAUGGCAAGACUAAUGCUUUGUUAGAAUAACUUGCGAAAGUAUUUUUGGGUUGAAGUUGUGAACACUAUUGCUUAUAUUUUGAAUAGUCUCCAUUAGAGCCAUGAUUUCUAAAGCCCUUUGUGAGCUUUACAAAGGAAGAAAACCAAAUAUCUCUCACUUAAAGAGUUUUGGAUGCAAACGUUUUGUUUUAAAUAAUGGAAAACAUACCUUGGGAAAGUUUGAUGCUAAGAGUGAUGAGGUAAUUUUCUUAAGCUAUGCGACUAACUUUAAAGCAUUUAGAAUGUUUAACAAAAGAACUCUAGAUAUGGAAGAGUCAAUUCACAUUGUUUUUGAUGAGAUUUAUGCUGAACAAGGAAAGGUAGUGCUUGAUGAUGAUGAUGCAGAUGACAUUGAGAAGAAAAUGGAGAAGAUGAGCUUGGAUGUCAAAGAAGAUCAUGGAGAGACCUUGAAGGAGAAAGUUGAUGAAGAACCAUCAUUAGAAAAGUUGCAAAGAAUUGAAGAACAACACAAUAAUCUUCCUAGAAGUUGGAGAUUUGUAAGGAAUCAUCCUCAAGAACUAAUCAUUGGUGAUCCCUCUGAAGGUGUCAAAAUUAGAAGAGGAUUAAGAGAAGCUUGUGAGUAUCUUGCAUUCAUAUCACAAGUGGAACCAAAGAACUCUGAGGAAGUUGAAAAGGAAGAGAGUUGGAUGAUAGCUAUGCAAGAAGAGCUGGGUCAAUUUGAAAGGAACAAGGUUUGGACCUUAGUUCCAAAGCCAACCAACCAUCCAAUUUGUCAAGACCCGGUACUCUCCUCGAGCUCGUGACAACCGUCGCGAUGUCCCGAUAUACAUUCAUUACCCGGAAUGCCAACCGAAACCUCGCAAGGCUUUAAUAUCAGUUUUCUCACCUCCCUUGCAAGCAACAGUUGCUAAUAUCAUAUUUUAAAAGAUUAUAAGCUAUUUCCAAACCAAAACAAUAAAAAAUAAUUUUCGUCUCUCGGGGGUAUUUUGGUCAUUUUCCCCAAAAAUUUCAAAACCAACUAAUAAUGUAGUAUGGGAGUGCAAAACACAUAUUUUAUUAUCAAAAAUAAGUUUAGAUGUCUAAAACAUUAAUUUAAAGUGAAAUUAUGACUAUUUGAAUAUAAUAAAAAUAUUCAAUAAAAUAUUCUAUUUUCGUAUAAAACAAUUUUUAUUGAGUUAUCUGUAAGGAAUUUUUGUAGCAUAAAAGCGAAAUAAAUUCAUACAUACUAUAAUACAGAUAGUCAAGGUAUGUAAUUUAAUUUACAAUGACAUGUGGGCCCCCAAAUGACAAAAGUGAACGAAGGCUGUGAACCUAUAAUUUUUGAGGAAGUAAAGCCAACUGUAGCCUUCGACUAUAUAAGCUAUCUACAAACUAUCCUGAGCCUGAAAUGGGUGGAAAGGAGGGUGAUGAGAUUAUAUAAUCUCAGUGAGUAAACAAAUAUCAUCUAAAAUAUCUAAAACCGAGUAAAUGGAGACAAUUAAAAUAGAUCAUCAUAAAAUGGUUCAUAACAUCAAAACACAUUUGAAAUCAUCUAAGCCAGUUACAUUUCAUCCAAAAUAUACAAUGAGGCUUAUGAAUCUCUUAAAAACUUGGCUCGUGCCAAAACUCAUUCUUGAGGAUACCUUGGCCGAGGCAUCUAACCGAGUUCACCAGGGCUGUUAAAAGGUCAUAUGCUCACAAAACACAUUUUUACGUUUAAAAGCAUAGCCGUUCCUUGGCGUUGGCUGAAUUCACUCUCACGUGGUGGUUCGAUGUGAAGUGAACUCUAAAAUUUACCUCAGGAGUUACCCUAUGCGCCUCUCGUACCGAGGUAAAAUAUAAUGGGGUUUAUCGUGCCCCUCUAAUAGGCUAGUCCACAGAAACCCACCCACUGCAGUAAGCUAAUCGAUAUCCCACCAAAUCAAUAAAAAUUCAAUAGCAUGAUAUGGCAAUUUUAUCAUUAUCCAGCCUAUCAAGGCAAACAACAAUUUAUACAUUUUCAACACAAAUACCCAUCCAGCCAUUCAUGCCCACAUUAUCAUAAGCCAUUCAAUUCAAAACAUAAUUUACAAUAUAGCAAGUAGUCUCCAAUUACUCCAUUUCCAAGUCAUCAUUAAAUUUCACAACAAUUUAUAGAAUCAUUUAAUUUAAACACAUUUUCCAUAAAAUUACAAAAUCGGAUAAAAACAUACUUUAGAUAAUUAAGACGAUAAUAAGGUUACUUACAAUAUCGGGAGUCAAAGUACUCCAAGUCCCAGUCUUCGGGUAUAACUUCUUUGCCUUUACAGGAGGAUUCACCACUUAGACAUAAUGCAUAAUUAAGCAAUUUACCACAUUUGUGCUAAACCGUUAUAAAACUAAUCUAGGCUCUAUAUGAAUGCAUGAAAUGGAAUGCGAAUUGUUCGGAUCAUCGUCUAAACACGGUGUUCUACAUAAAUUCAAUUGUGUACUUAAAUAAAACAAUAUUGGCCUAAUUCGAUCUAUCACCCGAUUAAUUGGUCAAUAUGUCCAAUUUAACUCCAAAUAACUCCAUUUCUCUCCCAAUACUCCAAAUCAUUAAACACAAUUUAAAUAACUUGAAAUGUGACAAAAUCACCCUCACAUUUUCUCUUGAAAAAUUAGGCCAUGGUGAGUGCUCUAACAAUAUAAUUUUUCUCGCUUGAUUCUCACACCAUAAAUCAUUCAUUCCUAAUCAAAUCACUUGAAAUUCAAUCAAAUUCAUCAUCAAUAUUCCACAUGGAAUAUUUGGCCAAUGAAGAAUCUGUGAAGAAUAUGUGAUUUUUCUUACUUGUUUUCCUUCCAAACAUGAUAAAUCAACUAAAAACACUAAAAUAUCUCAAAAUCUAACCAAAUAAAUCAUCAAAUCUUCUCCCUCUAAAUUCGGUCAGCCAUGAAUCCUUCAUGAUAUCUUGUGAUUCAACCAUGGAAAAUGUACAAGAAUGCAUAGGAAAGAUAGAUCACAAGCUAGAGUUAAGAAAUUUUACCUUUGAUGUCUUGAUUCCUUGAAAUCUAGUGAUUUUCCCUUGAAUUUCUUAGCUAGGGUUUUGUUCUUCUUCUUUUCUUCCCUU
rnacentral:lncRNA from 1 species